rnacentral:rRNA from 1 species
UACGUAGGGUGCAAGCGUUGUCCGGAAUUAUUGGGCGUAAAGAGCUCGUAGGCGGUCUGUCGCGUCUGCUGUGAAAACCUGGGGCUUAACCCCGGGCCUGCAGUGGGUACGGGCAGACUAGAGUGUGGUAGGGGAGACUGGAAUUCCUGGUGUAGCGGUGAAAUGCGCAGAUAUCAGGAGGAACACCGGUGGCGAAGGCGGCUCACUGGCCCGGUACUGACACUGAGGUGCGAAAGCGUGGGGAGCAAACAGG